AACGAACGCUGGCGGCAUGCCUAACACAUGCAAGUCGAACGAGACCUUCGGGUCUAGUGGCGCACGGGUGCGUAACGCGUGGGAACCUGUCCUUAGGUUCGGAAUAACUCCCCGAAAGGGGUGCUAAUACCGGAUAAUGUCUUCGGACCAAAGAUUUAUCGCCUUUGGAUGGGCCCGCGUUGGAUUAGCUAGUUGGUAGGGUAAAAGCCUACCAAGGCGACGAUCCAUAGCUGGUCUGAGAGGAUGAUCAGCCACACUGGGACUGAGACACGGCCCAGACUCCUACGGGAGGCAGCAGUGGGGAAUAUUGGACAAUGGGCGAAAGCCUGAUCCAGCAAUGCCGCGUGAGUGAUGAAGGCCUGAGGGUUGUAAAGCUCUUUUACCCGGGAUGAUAAUGACAGUACCGGGAGAAUAAGCUCCGGCUAACUCCGUG
rnacentral:rRNA from 1 species